rnacentral:rRNA from 1 species
CCUACGGGAGGCAGCAGUGAGGAAUAUUGGUCAAUGGACGCAAGUCUGAACCAGCCAUGCAGCGUGCAGGAUGACGGCCCUAUGAGUUGUAAACUGCUUUUGUACGAGGAUAAAACCCGACACGUGUAGCGGGUUGAAAGUACCGUACGAAUAAGGAUCGGCUAACUCCGUGCCAGCAGCCGCGGUAAUACGGAGGAUCCGAGCGUUAUCCGGAUUUAUUGGGUUUAAAGGGUGCGUAGGCGGGUUGAUAAGUUAGGUGUGAAAUGGCGGGGCUCAACCCCGAAACUGCCUUUAAAACUGGUCGACUUGAGUACAGUUGCGGUAGGCGGAAUGCGUGGUGUAGCGGUGAAAUGCUUAGAUAUCAUGCAGAACACCGAUUGCGAAGGCAGCUUACCAAACU